AGACGACAGAAAAACAAAAUCGACCCAAAAAAAAAGUCCACAGAAACCUUCCUCCCAAGAAAGUCAGUCCUCUAAAAGGCCCCAACAACAAAUGAAAGUUCUCUCUAUUUCUCACUUGAAGCAUUUGGCAUCCAAAAGUGCUUCACCCUCAAAUGGUUCCUGGUCUUCAAUCAUUUGGUUCACCCUCUCCUUCUGGGCUUCAUCCGAGAUAUCGACCUUCUUCCACUCGUACAGCUCCAUAUCAUAGCACUCGUCAAGCACAAAUUGUGGGAUUUCUUUUCCACGGAAAAGCCAUAGUCCUUUCACCUUGUAUGGUGCCUCCGAUCCGAUCACGAGCAUCUUUCCAAAGGCAUACUUGCGAGCAAGAUCCAUUCUCUGGAGAAAUCCACCAACUUUGUUCAAAGUCACAAAUGAGACAGUAUUCUCGUCGUUGUACUUGUAAUCACAGAACCACAGGGAGUACCCUUCAGGGUCAUACAUGUCCCAGAAUCCUUUGAUUGCAACCUCACGGAAGUUCGUUUUAGUGUUGGAGUAGAGACGUUUCCACUCAUCCAAAAUCAUCGUACUAGGAGGAAGCAGGUCAAGAGGAUUUUUGGCCUUGGGCUUCGGUGCCUCCGCUUCCUCAGCAGGUGCUGCUUUGGGCUUCUCUUCUUGUUUCUUGGGCUCAGGUUUUGGUUUGGCAGCUGCUGCAGCCGCUUCAGGUGUUUUCACUGGUGGAAUGGCGUCUGUCUGCUUUACCUCACCAAUUAUCUUUUGGAAAUUUGGUUGAUUGACCAACGUCCAGAAGUACCUCUCAACAUGAGGGAACUCGGAAGUAAAGCUUUUAGUCAACACAUAAGUGAAUCCCAAAUAGAGAUUGCAUGUCAAAAUGAUAUCAGCCAGUGUCACAGCGUGUCCAACAAGGAAUGUGUUUGAAGCAAGGUAGGAGUUCAAAGCACCCAAAGCUCGUUUUAGGGCAGCAUUUGCAGCUUCUUCUACCUCAGGAUGGUAAACACCAUAUCCAAAUCUAGGCCUCACAAUAGUUGAAAUAUGAGCAUCAAUUUCCAAUGUGGAGAAAUCAAUCCAUUGUUCAACAUGUCCAUAAUCGAUCGAAGAAGAGCCAAAUAAACCGCUGUCCUUCAAACGAGCAACAUAGCGAGCUAUCGCAUUGCUCUCAAAGAUAGCACCAUCGGGUGUUU
rnacentral:misc_RNA from 1 species